AGUAGGGAGUUUGGAGAGCUUCCAGGUUGGCAAACACAUCCACAUGCUGGGAGGGUGAAGUCCCCCAACUCCACGGGGACAGAAGCUCCUGCACUCAGGAUCCCCCCAGACCUCAUCCUCUGUAUCUCUUAAUCUUGCUCUUCAUCUGUAUCCUUUUAAUAAACUGGUAAACAUAACAAGUUCAACUUCUGAUACUGAUUUACCCAAGCUGUGCAAAUUCUUAGAAGACACUAUUUUAGUUCAGUUUAGUCCUAUGCCAUCCAAACAGAAAUCAAAGGGUAAUUGUCUUCUUGAUAUUCUUUUGGGGAUAAAAACAACAAAAGAGCAACUAAUUAUUCAUUCAGAAAUCUGCUAUUGAACACUGUUUUUCUGCCAGGCCUCUACCAAGCU
rnacentral:lncRNA from 1 species